CUUGAAAGCUAUCACUAUAGGAUGAGCCCAUGUAAGAUUAGCUAGUUGGUGGGGUAAAGGCCUACCAAGGCAACGAUCUUUAGCUGGUCUGAGAGGACGAUCAGCCACACUGGGACUGAGACACGGCCCAGACUCCUACGGGAGGCAGCAGUGGGGAAUAUUGGACAAUGGGGGCAACCCUGAUCCAGCAAUACCGCGGCCUGCGGGUUGUAAAGCACUUUUAUCUGUGAGGAAGGGUUUAAUGCUAAUAUCAUUAGACA
rnacentral:rRNA from 1 species